rnacentral:rRNA from 1 species
UUUUUAUGGAGAGUUUGAUCGUGGCUCAGGAUGAACGCUGGCGGCGUGCCUAAUACAUGCAAGUCGAGCGAACAGAUGAGGAGCUUGCUCCUCUGACGUUAGCGGCGGACGGGUGAGUAACACGUGGAUAACCUACCUAUAAGACUGGGAUAACUACGGGAAACCGGAGCUAAUACCGGAUAAUAUAUUGAACCGCAUGGUUCAAUAGUGAAAGACGGUUUUGCUGUCACUUAUAGAUGGAUCCGCGCCGCAUUAGCUAGUUGGUAAGGUAACGGCUUACCAAGGCAACGAUGCGUAGCCGACCUGAGAGGGUGAUCGGCCACACUGGAACUGAGACACGGUCCAGACUCCUACGGGAGGCAGCAGUAGGGAAUCUUCCGCAAUGGGCGAAAGCCUGACGGAGCAACGCCGCGUGAGUGAUGAAGGUCUUCGGAUCGUAAAACUCUGUUAUUAGGGAA